AUUGAACGCUGCGGCAGGCUUAACACAUGCAAGUCGAGCGAGCGGCAGACGGGUGAGUAAUGCUUAGGAAUCUGCCAAUUAGUGGGGGACAACAUCAAGAAAGGGAUGCUAAUACCACAUACUAAUAGAAGCACCUAAGUCGGAUUAGCUAGUUGGUGGGGUAAAGGGCUAUCAAGGCGAAGAUCUGUAGCGGGUCUGAGAGGAUGGUCCGCCACACUGGGACUGAGACACGGCCCCGGACUCUACGGGGGGCAGCAGUGGGGAAUAUUGGACAAUGGGGGGAACCCUGAUUCAGCCAUGCCGCGUGUGUGAAGAAGGCCUUAUGGUUGUAAAGCACUUUAAGCGAGGAGGCGUUACUCGCAGAAUAAGCACCGGCUAACUCUGUGCCAGCAGCCGCGGUAAUAC
rnacentral:rRNA from 1 species